GGAUGUGAGGGCGAUCUGGCUGCAACAUCUGUCACCCCAUUGAUCACCAGGGUUGAUUCAGCUGAUCUGGCUGGUUAGGUGAGUGUCCCCUUUCUCCCUCAUUUCUCCAUGUGCGUCCCUCCUGAAGUUGCAUGCUGGGUGGAAGAGGAUGAACUUCCCCGAUAGAGGAAGACUAUUUGUAGGUCAAGGAUAUAUGAGUAGUUGUGCUCCCCUGCUAGAACCUCCAAAGCAGCUCUCAAGAGUAUCUACUUUUUUUUUUUUGGUGAGGAAGAUUGGCCCUGAGUUAAUAUCUGUUGCCAAUCUUCCUCUUUUUGUUUGAGGAAAAUU
rnacentral:snRNA from 1 species